UACAGAGGGUGCGAGCGUUAAUCGGAAUUACGUGGGCGUAAAGCGCGCGUAGGCGGCUUGCAAGUCGAGUGUGAAAUCCCAGGCUCAACCUGGACUGCAUUCGAGACUGCAAUUAGCUAGAGUAUGGGAGAGGAAGUGGAAUUUCAGGUGUAGCGGUGAAAUGCGUAGAUAUCUGAAGGAACAUCAGUGGCGAAAGCGACUUC
rnacentral:rRNA from 1 species